CCACAAACAAGAAUGGACGGGCUGCGUUCUCCAUAAACGGUGCUAAUCUUAAGGCUGAUCUGAAUCUGGUGGCGAGUGCUAAUCCAGAGGUUUUUUAUGGUUGUAAAUCGCCAUACUUCACUACAGAUACAAGUGACCGUGGAGUAUUCAUUUGUUGGAGAGGCUGGUAGCUACAGCGCGGACAUAAUCUAUAUGGAGUGAUCGUCCUCCAUGGAUUUCAGACGGUUAAAGCAAAGGCUGGUGAUGCAGUCACAAGUGGCUCUGUGACGUUCCAGUUGUCCGUCAGCGUCGAUAUGGCUCCAGCAGUGCAGAUUCUGGUCCACAGCAUUCUUCCCAGUGAGAAUGUAGUUGCUGCUAGUGUGCCGUUUGACACCGAUAUGUGUGUCCAGAACCAGGUGUCUCUGCAGUUUUCUCCAGCUACGGCGGUUCCUGCGGAGGGAAACGUUCUGAUGGUUUCUGC